rnacentral:lncRNA from 1 species
AUUGGCAAACAUAUUUCGCCGAGCGAAGCGGGGAAAAUUCUUUUUUUUUGGAAGGGUUUUGGAGCCACUGAAGGCCAAAGAAGCUAUAGAAAAAAUGAUGCAAAUUCUAAUAUGACGUCCUUAUUACGCUUUGUAAACAAAGACGUGUUCUAAUGAGCACAAAAUAUGUUUGACACAUGCGCACGAACUUACUGUUUAUAUUAACGU